rnacentral:rRNA from 1 species
UGAAUGGGGCAACCCACUAUAUUGAAGGUAUAGUAUCCCGCAAGGGAAGCGAACCCGGUGAACUGAAACAUCUAAGUAGCCGGAGGAAGAGAAAACAAAAGUGAUUCCGGGAGUAGUGGCGAGCGAAACCGGAUUAGCCCAAACCAGUGUUGUUUCGGCAAUACUGGGGUUGUAGGACCACGACAUUGAUUGCGUAAUGAAUUAGAACACUUUGGAAAGAGUGACCGAAGAGGGUGAUAGUCCCGUACAAGUAAAGAGCGUUAAUUAUAGUGGUAUCCUGAGUAGUGCGGGGCACGUGAAACCCUGUAUGAAUCAAGCGGGACC